UAAAAAGAGAAGAUUCUGGGGUUACUCAUGAAACUAUUCCUAAGAGGCACAUUUGGGAAUAAUAUCUAAGGGUAGAGAGUGUGUCUGAGAUGGAAGGACACAGGGAGAUAAAGACUCACCAUUCCCAGCAUCCCAAAGGGGGAGACAGCUCCAGCCUACAGGAACACAUGAGGAACAGAAAUUAGAGACCACAUCCUAUCUCUUUACAAUCCCAAACCAGGCCCAUGGCCUCAAUUUUUUUCCAUCCUCUCAAAAGGGAGUCACAAAGCCCUUUUUCCUGACCCUUUCCCCAACUCCUAGAGCAUUUCACUUGCUCAGUUGGCUGUAGUGCAAGAAAAUUAAGUGCUUUCCUAACUAACCUCCAACCUUUCUUUGGGUCUCAGGUGUGUCUCAGCAUCAUUACCUGCUGCAUCCGGCGGCUGGCAGGCCUGGUCCCUGGCAUGUUGCCAUCUGUGAUGCUGAGGAAGGGGCUAUAUCCAAAGCCACCUGACAACAUACGGCUCAUAUGCUGACGGUGAAUAGCAAAGGGAUCCAUCAGGAACAUGGGAUCCUCAGGCUCCACGUCCCUCAUGAAGCGGAACAUCCUGAUCUCAGCUCCAGGGGGCUCCACACAGUGCCCGAUUCGGGCUCAGCGGCCCAUCCGGCCGGUUUCGCUUCCCGGUACGCUGCAGGGUCAGGGUCGCGGCCCGGAACGUGGGGAUUGGUCCGGGCUUGAGCUCCUCGGCCUUCCACGCCGCCUCCUCCCA
rnacentral:lncRNA from 1 species